rnacentral:rRNA from 1 species
GACGAACGCUGGCGGCGUGCUUAACACAUGCAAGUCGAACGGAAAGGCCCUGCUUUUGUGGGGUGCUCGAGUGGCGAACGGGUGAGUAACACGUGAGUAACCUGCCCUUGACUUUGGGAUAACUUCAGGAAACUGGGGCUAAUACCGGAUAGGAGCUCCUGCUGCAUGGUGGGGGUUGGAAAGUUUCGGCGGUUGGGGAUGGACUCGCGGCUUAUCAGCUUGUUGGUGGGGUAGUGGCUUACCAAGGCUUUGACGGGUAGCCGGCCUGAGAGGGUGACCGGCCACAUUGGGACUGAGAUACGGCCCAGACUCCUACGGGAGGCAGCAGUGGGGAAUAUUGCACAAUGGGCGGAAGCCUGAUGCAGCAACGCCGCGUGCGGGAUGACGGCCUUCGGGUUGUAAACCGCUUUCGCCUGUGACGAAGCGUGAGUGACGGUAAUGGGUAAAGAAGCACCGGCUAACUACGUGCCAGCAGCCGCGGUGAUACGUAGGGUGCGAGCGUUGUCCGGAUUUAUUGGGCGUAAAGGGCUCGUAGGUGGUUGAUCGCGUCGGAAGUGUAAUCUUGGGGCUUAACCCUGAGCGUGCUUUCGAUACGGGUUGACUUGAGGGAGGUAGGGGAGAAUGGAAUUCCUGGUGGAGCGGUGGAAUGCGCAGAUAUCAGGAGGAACACCAGUGGCGAAGGCGGUUCUCUGGGCCUUUCCUGACGCUGAGGAGCGAAAGCGUGGGGAGCGAACAGGCUUAGAUACCCUGGUAGUCCACGCUGUAAACGGUGGGUACUAGGUGUGGGGUCCAUUCCACGGGUUCCGUGCCGUAGCUAACGCUUUAAGUACCCCGCCUGGGGAGUACGGCCGCAAGGCUAAAACUCAAAGGAAUUGACGGGGCCCCGCACAAGCGGCGGAGCAUGCGGAUUAAUUCGAUGCAACGCGUAGAACCUUACCUGGGUUUGACAUGGAUCGGGAGUGCUCAGAGACGGGUGUGCCUCUUUUGGGGUCGGUUCACAGGUGGUGCAUGGCUGUCGUCAGCUCGUGUCGUGAGAUGUUGGGUUAAGUCCCGCAACGAGCGCAACCCUUGUUCACUGUUGCCAGCACGUUAUGGUGGGGACUCAGUGGAGACCGCCGGGGUCAACUCGGAGGAAGGUGGGGAUGACGUCAAGUCAUCAUGCCCCUUAUGUCCAGGGCUUCACGCAUGCUACAAUGGCUGGUACAGAGAGUGGCGAGCCUGUGAGGGUGAGCGAAUCUCGGAAAGCCGGUCUCAGUUCGGAUUGGGGUCUGCAACUCGACCUCAUGAAGUCGGAGUCGCUAGUAAUCGCAGAUCAGCAACGCUGCGGUGAAUACGUUCCCGGG